rnacentral:rRNA from 1 species
CACUAUGCUUAGCCCUAAACACAGAUAAUUACAUAAACAAAAUUAUUUGCCAGAGUACUACCAGCAACAGCUUAAAACUCAAAGGACUUGGCGGUGCUUUAUAUCCUUCUAGAGGAGCCUGUUCUAUAAUCGAUAAACCCCGAUAAACCUCACCAGUUCUUGCUAAUACAGUCUAUAUACCGCCAUCUUCAGCAAACCCUAAAAAGGAAAAAAAGUAAGCGCAAUCAUGAUACAUAAAAACGUUAGGUCAAGGUGUAACCUAUGAAAUGGAAAGAAAUGGGCUACAUUCUCUACAUCAAGAGAACCAAGCACGAAAGUUAUUAUGAAAUUAAUAACCAAAGGAGGAUUUAGCAGUAAACUAAGAAUAGAGUGCUUAGUUGAAUUAGGCCAUGAAGCACGC